GCCCGAAUAGCUCAGCGGUUAGAGCGAGAGAUUGCAGUUAUAAUUUUCUACUAUCUCUAGGUCCAUCGUUCGAAUCGGUGUUCGGGCU